UACGUAGGGGGGCGAGCGUUGUCCGGAUUUAUUGGGCGUAAAGAGCUCGUAGGCGGCUUGGCAAGUCGGGUGUGAAACCUCCAGGCUCAACCCUGGAGACGCCACUCGAUACUGCUAUGGCUAGAGUCCGGUAGGGGACCACGGAAUUCCUGGUGUAGCGGUGAAAUGCGCAGAUAUCAGGAGGAACACCGGUGGCGAAGGCGGUGGUCUGGGCCGGCACUGACGCUGAGGAGCGAAAGCGUGGGUAGCAAACAGG
rnacentral:rRNA from 1 species